rnacentral:rRNA from 1 species
AUUGAACGCUGGCGGCAGGCCUAACACAUGCAAGUCGAGCGAGCGGCGGACGGGUGAGUAAUGUAUGGGGACUGCCCGAUAGAGGGGGAUAACUACUGGAAACGGUGGCUAAUACCGCAUACUAUCGGAUAACCCAGAUGGGAUUAGCUCGUAGGUGGGGUAAAGGCUCACCUAGGCGUAGAUCCCUAGCUGGUCUGAGAGGAUGAUCCGCCACACGGGAACUGAGACAGGGCCCAGACUCCUACGGGGGCAGCAGUGGGGAAUCUUGCGCAAGGGGGGCAACCCUGACGCAGCCAUGCCGCGUGAAUGAAGAAGGCCUUCGGGUUGUAAAGUUCUUUCGGUAGCGAGGCGUUAUCUACAGAAGAAGCACCGGCUAACUCCGUGCCAGCAGCCGCGGUAAUAC